rnacentral:tRNA from 1 species
AAGUCUAUUGGCUAAUGGAUAAGGCGUCGGACUUCGGAUCCGAAGAUUGCAGGUUCGAGUCCUGCCAGGGUUG